UGCAGUCAACGGUAACAGGUCUUCGGAUGCUGACGAGUGGCGGACGGGUGAGUAAUGCGUAGGAAUCUGUCUUUGAGUGGGGGACAACCCAGGGAAACUUGGGCUAAUACCGCAUAAGCCCUGAGGGGGAAAGCGGGGGAUCUUCGGACCUCGCGCUGGAAGAGGAGCCUACGUCUGAUUAGCUAGUUGGUAGGGUAAAGGCCUACCAAGGCGACGAUCGGUAGCUGGUCUGAGAGGACGACCAGCCACACUGGGACUGAGACACGGCCCAGACUCCUACGGGAGGCAGCAGUGGGGAAUUUUUCGCAAUGGGGGCAACCCUGACGAAGCAAUGCCGCGUGAAUGAAGAAGGCCUUCGGGUUGUAAAGUUCUUUCGUGGAGGACGAAAAGGUGGGUGCUAAUAUCGCCUGCUGUUGACGUGAAUCCAAGAAGAAGCACCGGCUAACUCCGUGCCAGCAGCCGCGGUAAUACAAA
rnacentral:rRNA from 1 species